CAGCAGCCCGGGAAUACGGAGGGUGCAAGCGUUAAUCGGAAUUACUGGGCGUAAAGCGCACGCAGGCGGUUUGUUAAGUCAGAUGCGAAAUCCCCGAGCUUAACUUGGGAACUGCAUUUGAAACUGGCAAGCUAGAGUCUUGUAGAGGGGGGUAGAAUUCCAGGUGUAGCGGUGAAAUGCGUAGAGAUCUGGAGGAAUACCGGUGGCGAAGGCGGCCCCCUGGACAAAGACUGACGCUGAGGAGCGAAAGCGUGGGGAGCGAACAGGAUUAGAUACCCGAGUAGUCCCUGUCUCUUAUACA
rnacentral:rRNA from 1 species